UACGUAGGGGUCUAGCGUUGUCCGGAAUUAUUGGGCGUAAAGAGCGCGUAGGCGGUUCGGCAAGUCGGAUGUGAAAUCUCCACGCUUAACGUGGAGGGGCCAUUCGAAACUGCCGUGACUCGAGUCCGGUAGGGGAGUGCGGAAUUCCCGGUGUAGCGGUGAAAUGCGCAGAUAUCAGGAGGAACACCAGUGGCGAAGGCGGCACUCUGGGCCGGUACUGACGCUGAGGAGCGAAAGCGUGGGGAGCGAACAGG
rnacentral:rRNA from 1 species